rnacentral:rRNA from 1 species
UACGGAGGGUGCGAGCGUUGUCCGGAAUCACUGGGCGUAAAGGGCGCGUAGGUGGCGUCGCAAGUCAACGGUGAAAGCUCGACGCUCAACGUCGAGUCGGCCGCGAGACUCGCGAGGCUUGAGCACUGUAGAGGCAGAUGGAAUUCCGGGUGUAGCGGUGGAAUGGCGUAGAGAGUCCGGAAGAACACCGGUGGCGAAGGCGG